rnacentral:rRNA from 1 species
UGGGGAAUAUUGGACAAUGGGCGAAAGCCUGAUCCAGCAACGCCGCGUGAGGGAUGACGGCCUUCGGGUUGUAAACCUCUUCAGUACCGACGAAGCGCAAGUGACGGUAGGUACAGAAGAAGCACCGGCUAACUACGUGCCAGCAGCCGCGGUAAUACGAAGGGGGCGAGCGUUGUCCGGAAUUAUUGGGCGUAAAGGGCGCGUAGGUGGUGGCUUAAGCGUGCGGUGAAAGCUCGGGGCUCAACUCCGAGUCGGCCGUGCGAACUGGGCUCACUGGAGCAUAGUAGAGGCAGGUGGAAUUCCGGGUGUAGCGGUGGAAUGCGUAGAGAUCCGGAAGAACACCGGUGGCGAAGGCGGCCUGCUGGGCUAUGGCUGACACUGAGGCGCGACAGCGUGGGGAGCAAACAGGAUUAGAUACC